GGUUCAUUAUUAAAAAUAUGACAUUAAGAAUUCACCCAAAAGCUGUUGCUGUUGAAUAGUACAAAUAUACUUUUAUUUUAAUUUUUUCAUUUUGUCCACAAUCA